CACGUAGGGCGCAAGCGUUGUCCGGAAUUAUUGGGCGUAAAAGGAGCUCGUAGGCGGGCUUGUCACGUCGGGGUGUGAAAGCCCGGGGCUUAACCCCGGGUCUGCAUUCGAUACGGGCUAGCUUAGAAGUGUGGUAGGGGAGAUCGGAAUUCCUGGUGUAGCGGUGAAAAUGCGCAGAUAUCAGGAGGAACACCGGUGGCGAAGGCGGAUCUCUGGGCCAUUACUGACGCUGAGGAGCGAAAGCGUGGGGAGCGAAACAGG
rnacentral:rRNA from 1 species